rnacentral:lncRNA from 1 species
UUUCAAGAUUGUUAUAUAAUAGGACUUGCAGUGACAAGAGAGAACAGCAACUCAGCUCCUAUAAUUAGUUGCACUAUAAGGCAAUGAGGCAUAAGAACAUGUGGAGAAAGAAGAAAAAGAAGGAUUUUGAUGGAGUACUCGAGGAUGAAAGUGGCGAUCACUGCAACUUUUCAGUGAACACUAGGUCACACCCUUUGAUGCAUCUGAUGUGAGGCGAUACCAAGGGUUAACAGGCAAGUCAUAGCGGCAAAGGGAAGGCAACGCCUUUCUUCCAGAUUUUUACUUAUUUCUUCUUGUAUUUUCAUAUUACUUCUCCAUUGUAUCAUGGAUCAUCCUGGCUUUUGAGUUUGUUGUUUUGCUAUUAUUAGUCUUUAGCUUUUGAUUAAACUACUGUUCAACCACUGUCCUUGUUGAGUUUGUUGCUUUGCUAUUAAUGGUGUUGGAGGCAAUGCCUUCUUUUUAAGAAAUACAGUCUUGUUCUUACCUUUCUAGUCAUCAAGCACACUGAUAUUUCAUCUUAAUUUUUCUGUUCAUUUCCCAAAUUUUCUAGUUCUUGCUUAUAUCCAUUUACAAAACACACUGUUCUGUUGCCUACUGGUGGUGGUAAAAAUUAUACAGCAAUUAUGCAGUAGUAUUUAACCAAAACCAAGGUGGCUAGAAGUAGAGACUAAAAAAAAUGGAAUGAAGGUGCUUCCCAAAUCAUAUC